rnacentral:lncRNA from 1 species
CUUGUCAGAUCCAUGAGGAUGAAUUGAGGGAGAGGGGACAGGAGCAGCACGCGGUAGAUCCACUUUCAGGCUAGCUGCCUCCUCACAGAUACUUCUAGAUAUGCAUUGUAAUAGUCAGACCACACAACAUACAAAUCUCAAGAGCGCAUUAUUUCUUUAUUUCUCAAUAAUUCACAAUAAAUGAUCAAGCAUCUAUAUGCAUGUACCAAAGCAUUUACCUUUGUAGGAGCUUCCCAACUUUGCCUUCUGAGUUGUACGGGCUCUUCCAUGGUCAAAACUCCAUACCACCUUCGCCGCCACCAACGAUGACCGAUCCCAAUCAUUGAGCCGAGCCCGGAGGCCGUCAAAGGGACCGCCAUCUCCCUAAAGCGACGGGUUGCCCUAAGAUGGUUGAGACCAAGUCGAUGGGCACACGCUAGUGAAACCUAGCCCAUCUUAAAACUUUGAACCUAGCCCGUCUUCAAACCUAGCAGAAGACCAAAGCAACAAAUUUAGAAUGAGGGACUGGUUAAUUGUAUUUUUUAAACUUCGCGCGGAGAACUGAAAACUUCUUCUUCUUUGCGGAAACGUAAACCAAAGCACAUAAACGCAUGAUAUAAAAUCAAGAAGAUCUGCAUGUAAAACUUCUAUACUGCAUAGUCUCUUGACAUGUAUAAUUAGUAUUUAAAAAAUGACAAUGUAAAGCAAAGAAAUUGGCAGCAAGAGAAAGAGCUAGCUAGCAAAUAAUUAGAUGCAGACCAGGUUAUCAGUUAGACACAGACCAGGUUAUCAGUUAGACAAAGAACAGAAAAUAGAACAAAGGAUCAUAAAGCAAUCCUUCGUGGUGAGAUACCCCUUAAUUUUUCUCGAAUUUGGAAUGAACUUCUUUACACACAGCAACUGAGUAUAUUUGCAUGUAAUGUUGUACCAAGGAUGGACAAGUGAUGAACAUGAACUGAAUCAUAAAAUCCGUAUAAUUUGCAUUGUUUGCUUUCUAGGACAAAGCAGAAUCACGAGCAACUAAAAUACAGUCAAGUAAGUCGAAAGCACUUAAUAAGAGGUCUGACAUCGGGCAUAUGCCAUGGAAAUAUAGUAGUAAGCCAAAAUGGACAUUUUUGUUGAUUCCUAUCUUUUACAUCUGUAAGAAAGAGCAUGGAAUCUCAGUGGUGUGCGGCUAACACAUAAUAUUUAUCAGAGCAUGCCACUGUCAGACAAUAACCAGCUGAGACAUGUAGGAUAUAAAGAAAUUUACCACACCUCAGCAUCAACAAGUGAUU